rnacentral:rRNA from 1 species
AACCAGCAACGCCGCGUGUGCGAUGAAGGCCUUCGGGUCGUAAAGCACUUUUUGCAGGGACGAGGAAGGACGGUACCUGCAGAAUAAGUCUCGGCUAACUACGUGCCAGCAGCCGCGGUAAAA